rnacentral:rRNA from 1 species
GACAGAGGGUGCAAACGUUGUUCGGAAUUACUGGGCGUAAAGCGCGUGUAGGCGGCUCUGCAAGUCGGGUGUGAAAGCCCUGGGCUCAACCUAGGAAGGGCACUCGAAACUGCAGAGCUUGAGUUCUGGAGAGGAAGGCGGAAUUCUCGGUGUAGAGGUGAAAUUCGUAGAUAUCGAGAGGAACACCGGUGGCGAAGGCGGCCUUCUGGACAGUGACUGACGCUGAGGAGCGAAAGCGUGGGGAGCAAACAGG